rnacentral:rRNA from 1 species
UCGAAACCUGCAAAGCAGACCCGCGAACACGUGUUUAACCCCCGGGCGUCGAGCCGAGGGAGNACGCAAGUCCCUCCUCGUUGAGACGCCCUGCCCGCUCGACGCGUGCGUCGUUCGGGCUAACGAACCCCGGCGCGGCAUGCGCCAAGGAAAACAACUGAGAAGUGUCGUGCCCCCGCUGCCCCGUUUGCGGGUGCCUGCGGGGGGGAACUCGACCUAUCUUGAAUGUCAAAACGACUCUCGGCAACGGAUAUCUCGGCUCUCGCAUCGAUGAAGAACGUAGCGAAAUGCGAUACUUGGUGUGAAUUGCAGAAUCCCGUGAACCAUCGAGUCUUUGAACGCAAGUUGCGCCCGAAGCCAUUAGGCCGAGGGCACGUCUGCCUGGGCGUCACGCAUCGCGUCGCCCCCUCCCUCUAAGGGAUGGGGCGGAAAAUAGCCUCCCGUGCGCAAACGCGUGCGGCCGGCCCAAAUCUGAUCCCGCGUCGACGGAUGUCGCGACAAAGUGUGGUUGAACUCUCAACUCGCGUGUUGUCGUGACUGGCUCCGUUGCAUGCUCGGGCAUCUUUUUGACCCAACGGCGCCUAAUCGCGCUUUCGAC